AUUGAACGCUGGCGGCAGGCCUAACACAUGCAAGUCGAACGAGUGGCGGACGGGUGAGUAAUGUAUGGGAAACUGCCUGAUGGAGGGGGAUAACUACUGGAAACGGUAGCUAAUACCGCAUACCAUCGGAUGUGCCCAGAUGGGAUUAGCUAGUAGGUGGGGUAAAGGCUGACCUCGGCGACGAUCACUAGCUGGUCUGAGAGGAUGACCAGCCACACUGGAACGUAGACACGGUCCAGACUCCUACGGGAGGCAGCAGUGGGGAAGAUGGGACAAUGGGCGCAAGCCGGAUGCAGCCAUGCCGCGUGUAUGAAGAAGGCCUUCGGGUUGUAAAGUACUUUCAGCGGGGAGGCGUUACCCGAAGAAGAAGCACCGGCUAACUCCGUGCCAGCAGCCGCGGUAAUUC
rnacentral:rRNA from 1 species